rfam:Acremonium chrysogenum ATCC 11550 scaffold543 mitochondrial, whole genome shotgun sequence.
AAGAGUAUAAUUUAAUUGGUAAAAUAAGAAGCUUCAACCUUCUAUUUCUUGGUUCGAGUCCGAGUACUCUUG